GGACUACCGGGGUAUCUAAUCCCGUUCGCUCCCCUGGCUUUCGUGCCUCAGCGUCAGUAAAGGUCCAGCGCGCCGCUUUCGCCACCGGAGUUCCUGAUGAUAUCAACACAUUUCACCGCUCCACCAUCAGUUCCGCACGCCCCUACCUCACUCAAGAUGACCAGUAUCAAAGGCAGUUCUCCAGUUAAGCUGGAGGAUUUCACCCCUGACUUGAUCGCCCGCCUACGCACCCUUUAAGCCCAGUGAUUCCGAACAACGUUCGCACGGUUCGUCUUACCGCGGCUGCUGGCAC
rnacentral:rRNA from 1 species